rnacentral:rRNA from 1 species
AUUGAACGCUGGCGGCAUGCCUUACACAUGCAAGUCGAACGGUAACAGGUCUUCGGAUGCUGACGAGUGGCGAACGGGUGAGUAAUACAUCGGAACGUGCCUAGUAGUGGGGGAUAACUACUCGAAAGAGUGGCUAAUACCGCAUGAGAUCUACGGAUGAAAGCAGAGGAUCGCAAGACCUUGUGCUACUAGAGCGGCCGAUGGCAGAUUAGGUAGUUGGUGGGAUAAAAGCUUACCAAGCCGACGAUCUGUAGCUGGUCUGAGAGGACGAUCAGCCACACUGGGACUGAGACACGGCCCAGACUCCUACGGGAGGCAGCAGUGGGGAAUUUUGGACAAUGGGCGAAAGCCUGAUCCAGCAAUGCCGCGUGCAGGAUGAAGGCCUUCGGGUUGUAAACUGCCUUUGUACGGAACGAAAAGCCCCGGGUUAAUACCCUGGGGUCAUGACGGUACCGUAAGAAUAAGCACCGGCUAACUACGUGCCAGCAGCCGCCGUAA